AGUUUGAUUUUAUUUAAGCAUGCUUUUACUUUGAAUUUGCUGUGUUUUUGUCUUAUUUAUUAUUGCAUGCUUUUAUUUUGAAGUGUGUUUGUGUUACGUUGGUUUUACUUCCCCACCGGAGACAUACCUUAAUCAAGCAUAAGGACUUACACCUGGCACCCAGAGAGGGGAGUGACUGUUCUUGGAUAAAAGGACACUAUGGAAGAUACCCGGGGGCACGAGGGAGGACACAGAGGGCACGAGGGAGGACACAGAGGGCACGAGGGAGGACACGGAGGGCACGAGGGAGGACACAGAGGGCACGAGGGAGGACACGGAGGUCACAACGGGCCGGACAGCAGGAAGCAGACAGAGAGACAGAGCAGAUCAUCGCACUGGAAGAGGUCUGAAGAGACACCGGAGCAAACACCGACCGUUAGCGGCUAUAAUUGGGAGAAGGUAAAACUUCUCCCUCCCGCGUAAGUCCCGUUUCAGACCGGUGUUUGUGUAGUGUGUAAUAUAUAAAGUUGUGCCUUGUUAAAGGACAUUGACUGGCCCUGAGUUUCCCUCGACAGGCUGCCGAAGAGCGGAGCCAGGUGAAGAGCAGGUGGUCGCCACCAGAGACCCGCGACUGCCGUUGUUGACCCCCACUCCAUCCGUGCCACAUUAUUUUAGCUGGGUUUUAGUUGUUUGUGUUCUUUGUUUAGUUUAUUUGAAGGUAGAGCUUUUAGUUGUUUUUACUUAUUUUAAAAUAAAUUGUGUUCAACUGUG